CAGGGAAUAUUAGUAAUGGGCGAAAGCCUGAACUAGCAACGCCGCGUGUGCGAAGAAGGCCUUCGGGUUGUAAAGCACUUUUUGAGAGGAUGAGGAAGGACGGUACUCUCAGAAUAAGUCUCGGCUAACUACGUGCCAGCAGCCGCGGUAACACGUAGGAGGCGAACGUUAUCCGGAUUUACUGGGCGUAAAGCGCGUGUAGGUGGUUUGGUAAGUAGGGCGUGAAAGCUCCUGGCUCAACUGGGAGAGGCCGUUCUAAACUGCCGAACUAGAGGAUGGUAGAGGGAGGUGGAAUUCCGGGUGUAGCGGUGGAAUGCGCAGAUAUCCGGAGGAACACCAGUGGCGAAAGCGGCCUCCUGGACCACUCCAGACACUCAGACGCGAAAGCUAGGGUAGCAAACGG
rnacentral:rRNA from 1 species